GUGAAUCAUCGAAUUUUUGAACGCAUAUUGCACUCUCUGGUAUUCCGGAGAGUAUGCCUGUUUGAGGGUAAUUAAAAAGAAUCUUUAAUCAAUUUUUUUGGUCAAUGUAUAUGAGGUCUCCGCGUUUAUAUCGGUAGCUAGAAAUAAAUGGACAAGCAUCAUCUUAGUCGAGAUGCUUAAUA
rnacentral:misc_RNA from 1 species